rnacentral:lncRNA from 7 species
ACUUCCCAGCAUCAGAGUGGACCAUGAGACAUUUCUGAGCAAGGCUGUGACACGUGGCUGCCUGGAAUAGCAGGAGACUGGAUUGCACAGCCCAGGAAAACAAUUCCCGUCCCCUAACCUGCAUUCCUUAGUUUCUUUGCAGCUGUUGCGUGGCUGGGCAAGACAGAGCAUCCCUCCACAUCUGAGUGUGAGGAAUGUGGAACAUGGUGUGUGCAUCUGAUGUCCGGCUAUCAUGUAUGCUUUCUAUGAAUGGGACAAGUGAUUCCUUUGGUGGUUUCAAAACAGGUGAGAUCUCCAUCCACGGUGGCAGAUGUGCACUUGGAUCUUCCAGGAAACUGGAGCAUAUAUGUGAAAGCAAAGUCUCUCGCAAUGAAUCCACGGCAGCUUCGAUUGAGCAGUGAGCUGGAGCACCUACCCACAGGCCACUCCUCGAUGUGACUGCAAAGAGGCCCUUGCCAGCACUGGGAGAGCAGAUCUGUGGAUUUACCCCCCAUGCAACCGCAUACCCCCCGGCACCACGAGAUUCCAGUGACAGAUGGAUCUCUCUCAUAUGCACUUGCUCUUUCCCUCUCUGUAUUUUUGUUUUCAACAUGUUUGAUCUGAAGCUCUGAAGCUUCUCAGAAGGAACCCGGGAGAAAAGGAAAAGAAGGAGGAGGAACUGAAGGGAGCGUGAGCGACAGAGGAGGCAGCCUUGCCUUAUUCUUCCAAAUCACACCGUGGAGGGGCGAGGGAAGACCCGAGGGGGGAGGGUUUGGGUUUAUUUUGGGGUGGGUUCGGUGUGGGAGGCAGGUGGGUGGAAAGACAUUGGAAAAGGUGAGAAAGUUGCUCAUGAACAUC